CCUACGGGAGGCUGCAGUGGGGAAUAUUGCACAAUGGGCGCAAGCCUGAUGCAGCCAUGCCGCGUGUGUGAAGAAGGCCUUCGGGUUGUAAAGCACUUUCAGCGGGGAGGAAGGCGGUGAGGUUAAUAACCUCAUCGAUUGACGUUACCCGCAGAAGAAGCACCGGCUAACUCCGUGCCAGCAGCCGCGGUAAUACGGAGGGUGCAAGCGUUAAUCGGAAUUACUGGGCGUAAAGCGCACGCAGGCGGUCUGUCAAGUCGGAUGUGAAAUCCCCGGGCUCAACCUGGGAACUGCAUUCGAAACUGGCAGGCUAGAGUCUUGUAGAGGGGGGUAGAAUUCCAGGUGUAGCGGUGAAAUGCGUAGAGAUCUGGAGGAAUACCGGUGGCGAAGGCGGCCCCCUGGACAAAGACUGACGCUCAGGUGCGAAAGCGUGGGGAGCAAACAGGAUUGGAUACCCCGGUAGUC
rnacentral:rRNA from 1 species